rnacentral:sRNA from 1 species
CUGUAUAAAAUACAUAUGCCACAUUGCGUGAAAUAUAUAACAUUGUAUACGUUCACACGUAUACUAUGUUAUAACGCAUAUGACGGUUCCGUGAUAUGAUUGGACGCUCGUCGUGCAAUAUCUAUAUUGCGGUCCGUUUAAAUAUUGUCUAACGACACACGUUGAUUAUAAUUUAUAUAUCAUACGACAAUGUUAGAGAUUAUUAUAAUAUUUGUCGAACGAUCGACGGUGUUACCGCUGAUGCGCUUUACUGCGUAAGGCGGGACGCUUUCGACUCUUCGAGUUUGUGUGACACAUACGAGAGGGUUGAUGGCGUGUGCAUGUUUUUAUUUUUUUUUAUUUUUUUUUUAAAUAAAAUUAAACAAGUUCAACACCGUUCACAUGUCGCGAGACACAUAAAUAUUAUCAAUCUCUAUUAUAACAAUUGACGUAUACACAAAGAUAUAUAAUAAACCUUAAAUCAUCGACAGUAGGCGGACUCGACGUCCGAAGAGCGCAUCGACGCCGUCGUCGUUAUCGAUCGUUAACUGUAACGUAUCGUAGCGGUUGCGUCGUCGUAACGCUGACGGAUAUCGCGUCUGCCUCAUUUUUUUAUCGUUGGCCUCAGAUCAGGGAGGAUCACCCGCCGAAUUUAAGCAUAUUAGUAAGCGGAGGAAAAGAAACUAACUAGGAUUUCCUUAGUAGCGGCGAGCGAACAGGAAAGAAGCCCAGCACUGAAUCCCGCCGUUGUUCAGGCGGCGGGAGAUGUGGUGUUCGGGAGGUUCCGCUUUCUCGUCGCGAUCGCUCCUGUCCAAGUUCGUCUUGAACGGGGCCGUUUUCCCGUAGAGGGUGCCAGGCCCGUAGCGACGGAGGAUCGCGGCGAGAGGGACUCUCCUUAGAGUCGGGUUGCUUGAGAGUGCAGCCCUAAGUGGGUGGUAA